rnacentral:lncRNA from 1 species
CUUCAAACAACCAGGUGAGAUGAGUAUAAUCAUGUGAUGAGGGAACUGAAAUUGAGAGAUGUAAACACUUUACACGAAUCUUAUGGCAUGGGAGUGGCCCUGCUGGGACUUGAGAGAAUGUGUGUUCUGUCAGCAGCUAAGAGCACAGAUCUGGGUGCUGAUCAAGACCCCGAAGCAGGCCUGAGAAAACGCAGAACUGAGGAAUCUAGGAGCCUAGUAUGGUCAAGGUACUGGCUGGGCACGGGGCACAGUGGGCCACCUGGAAGUGAGGAAGACAUCACCGCUGACCUUCCAGGAACUGACUGUAGCAGAAGAAAGAUACUCUUACAUGAAUAAUAUCAGGAUAUGAGUAAAGGAUCCAGUCACGAGUCCCUCAUGGGGCUGGAUCAGGAGACAUCACCAUGCAUUUGUCAGAGUCCAUUAUGCCCCCUGCUGAAGAAGGCUGUGAUCUUCAGUCGACCUCUUUGUGUCCACUGUCCUCUUCACUUCCAGUGAACGUAUCCCGGAUGAUCCUCAGUCUGUCUUGCAAAUAGACUUGGACAUGUCCCUUCAGAUCGGCAGACAGGCCUGACUCCAGCAGUGUGUUGGGCUUGAGCUCAAAGCUGGGACACAAACGAUGCUUAUAUUGAGCUGAAAACAAUCACUCUGCAUUUAUUACCCCAAAGCCCUUCUUAUACUCCCCAGGACUACACAGAACAAGCAUAAUUCCCUUCUAACAUGUCCACCUAACAAGACUGAAGCCAGCUCUCUUUUCCUGCUCCCCUUAAAACUAUUUUCUAGGUAAAGCACGCUCAGGACUUUCUACCAUUCUUCAGAUGACACGUUUCAUGUUUUUUCAUCGUUUGGGCCCCUUUCCUCUUAAUAUGCUCUGGCCUGUCUGUGACCUUCUAAACAUGUGAGGUCAAAGAGACUAUCUGCCUGGCCAGGAAAGAUUGGAGUAGACUAUCACCUCUUUUAUUCUGCCUACUAUGCAUUUUGUGGUAGUAUAACACACGAUUCUUUAAUAUUGGAUUUACUGUUAAGCCAUAGCUCUACAAAUAACUGAGAAGAAGUUCAGAAUUGAGAAGUCAUUAUUUAAUAAUCAAAGAUGUGAUGAAAAAUAACCAUACUGAUUUUGUUCUUCACCCAAGAAGAGUGUCUGCCUCGUUGUUUAUUGGAGUCUUAAAUGAGAUGUCUCCAGUGAAGAUGGCUGGACUUUGGAGAGGUGCGGCAGCAGAGAUCCUUGGAGCAUCUGCCUGAAUUGACAAUGGAUAUAGAACAACCUACACAGACUUGCAGAACGUCUAUGUCCAAUCAUUGGGACCAUUAAAAAUACUUAGAGAGAGGAUCCUGUAAAAGAUUGAACAUCAUGUUCAAGUGGAAUGAGAGACUUUGGUUACUGUUAUUUGGGGAAGUAAAGGGAAGACCCGUGAACACUGGAGUCUUUGUAAUGUGCUUAAUAAAAGGACAGAAAAAAUGAUUCACCUCAGGAGUACAAAACAACCAUUUCCAAAAUUAUUAAUCUCACCAUUUAGUUUCAUUUGGCAACCUCAGAAUGCUCAAUGCAAUACUUGAGUUGUAGCAGGUGUUUCUGUAAGUGAGCUUUUUAUAGAAUCAUGAAAUAACAAUGCUUUACUCCCUUAAUGGGUUCAAGUUCUGGGUGGAGAUAACGAGUCGAUGUUUGAUAGUUACCA